rnacentral:rRNA from 1 species
UACGUAGGGUGCAGGCGUUAAUCGGAAUUACUGGGCGUAAAGCGUGCGCAGGCGGUGAUGUAAGACCGAUGUGAAAUCCCCGGGCUUAACCUGGGAACUGCAUUGGUGACUGCAUUGCUGGAGUAUGGCAGAGGGGGGUGGAAUUCCACGUGUAGCAGUGAAAUGCGUAGAGAUGUGGAGGAACACCGAUGGCGAAGGCAGCCCCCUGGGCCAAUACGUGACGCUCAUGCACGAAAGCGUGGGGAGCAAACAGG